CCAGACUCCUACGGGAGGCAGCAGUGAGGAAUAUUGGUCAAUGGGCGGAGGCCUGAACCAGCCAAGUCGCGUGAGGGAAUAAGGCCCUACGGGUCGUAAACCUCUUUUGCCGGGGAGCAAGGGCGGGGACGUGUCCCGGCCCGGAGAGUACCCGGAGAAAAAGCAUCGGCUAACUCCGUGCCAGCAGCCGCGGUAAUACGGAGGAUGCGAGCGUUAUCCGGAUUUAUUGGGUUUAAAGGGUGCGUAGGCGGAAUAUCAAGUCAGCGGUAAAAAUUCGGGGCUCAACCCCGUCGUGCCGUUGAAACUGAUGUUCUUGAGUGGGCGAGAAGUAUGCGGAAUGCGUGGUGUAGCGGUGAAAUGCAUAGAUAUCACGCAGAACUCCGAUUGCGAAGGC
rnacentral:rRNA from 1 species